UACGUUAUGGAUUAACAUUAAGAAUGUCUGCAGUGAAGCAGUACUUGUGUGGCUGUGUAAGACUUGCUUGGACAAUGUAACUUAUAUUACAGAAUCCGGAUUUUCCUCAUAUGCUUAAGAGUAAUAUAUCCAAUUACUGUAUAGUUCUGCCUAUUCUGUUGAUUUUCAAAAUCUUCAGUUAAUCUAACUGUCAGGUUUCACACAGCACUUAACAAAGGGCUAUUCAGGAAAUUAAGUCAUCUCUUUCAACAGAUAACGUGACCGAGGCAGCUUCGAAGCCUUUCUGAAGGAUCCACUUUCAUUCUACAGGCUGUUUAAUCUUUCUGUGGAGUUUCUAACUACGAACCUCAUUCUGCAGACUUCAGUUCUUGUGCUGUACAGGUGAGUAAGAAUUGCGCAGGCGAGCAAGAUGAGCCCUAAGUCAUUACUGGAGAAUGAAGGAAGGAAGAAUGCAUGGGUCACAAGAAGCAAAACAAAGGCUUUAUUUGUCCCUCUUUUACAAGCUGGGAGGAAGUAAAAGUAAUUACAGCUCAGUGGCUGGGAAGGAUGAUCCUUAUGGAUCCUUUGCAACUUGAGAUACUCCAUGAAUUCUAAGAUUCUGAGACUCGAAGAAAGGCUUAGUGAUAACUAGUUUGUCACCCAGGUCUCCUGCCUGCUAGGGCUCUCUCUUCCCCUCAAUACAUUUUACAGGUCUUUCUGCUUUCUCCUGGAAGGAGUCUCCAGCACCACAGAAAACCAAUGCUGCUCUGCAGUGUUAGAUUGCCUGAAUUCUUUCCCAAUGCAAGACACUUGUCCUGUGAGACGCAGAGCAGCUUGCAGAAGGGAGCUGAGGACAUCUUCCAGCACAGAGCUGCAGGACAGGGAGAGGCACUGCUGCACCCUGAAACCAUCUGGAAGAAACUGUAGUCUGUGCCAGUUAAUUCUGGAAGAGUCUGUCCUUGCCUUCACACUCCCAUUCUCCCUUGAAACCCAGGUUAUGGCCUUGCUUCUCCCUUGCACCUUCUGUUUCCAGUGAGAACCACAAUUCCCUCCAGUGUUUGGAGAGGAUACAAGGAUGCUUUGCAGCCCCCUGUUACACAGUUCAUCCAUGAAGGGGCCAGGAAGAACCUGUUCAGCUGGGAAACAAAACUUGAUAAGAAUAAAACUUUCCUUAGUUUGUUGCUCUUGCUGACCGUGUAUGGUAAGUACUCUGGCCUCUGCUUUGUGUGCACGUGCAACUCAGGGUAUUGGAAAUUACCUGUAAAGGGCACACAGUUACACACGGUUUGAACCUUAGUUCAUCCAAUGGAAAAAAAAAAUCUACCCCAUUUGUGAGGAUCUGUUUCCUCCAGAUCAGGUCUUACGACUUCAUUCUCUGUUUUCUUUUGUGGUUUCAUAUCCCUCUGAUGCUGUUUCCACCGGAGAGGCUUUCACAGCAUCUUGCUCACUGGUUCUCACAGGCAAACACUUGCGUACCCAUCUUCCCUGGUGCUGGCUAAGGGUUGAACUCAUGUUGCCUCUUGUAGAAAAGCUCAGAUACCUCCCCCUCUUCUCCCCCAGACACAUAUUUUCACUUGUAGAACUGGAAUUGCUACUUUUUGUCAAAUUUGGUUGAUAAUGGGUUAAAAUUAUGACUGACAUACACAUAGACACCUGCAGCAUGUGGGAUCACCCUAAUUUCUUGGGUUGGCAUGGCUAAAACUGAUUCUUUUAAGCUAUUGACUGAAACUAUAUGUUACCAGACAACCCAGUCUGUGAAACAAAAGAAUAUUAAAACCAGUAUGUAGCCUCAGUUAUUAAUCAUUUGAAGAGAGCUGGAAGUCACUGUUGCUGGUUCAGUGAUGUCACUGAACCAACAACAGUGACUUGUCACAUCAGGAAUGUGAUUCUGUGUGCUGUAUGUGCCAAUAACUAGAAGAAAAUCAGCUUGAAAACUGGGGAUAUAGUUGGAUGUGAGGCUAAAUGAGAUCCUCAUCCCACACAAAGCUCCACAUGGGCAAAUCUACCUUUGCAUGACAUGGGUGCAGGAAUUUGUGGGUAAGGACUUUACUGCUAUGGUGCCUUAGCUGUCAUUUUUAGCAUUUAGUGCUAUGCUAAAAAAAAAACCACCCAGAAAUCACGUUAGCAGAAUCAAAACUGCUGUUAGCAGAAUCAAAAUCACUUUUAUUUUCAGGGUCACUACACUCAGCAAUAUGUUACAGAAAAAGGACAAACCCACCGUGGAGCUGCCGAUAAUUCCUGAGUUGGUUUGACAUAUGCAGACUGCUGUCGACUUCAACAGGCUUAACACAUUUGUUUCUUUGGGAUUUCAGAUUAUUCAAAAUGCAAUUUUGUGAAGCUGCAUUGAUGAGGUUGCAUAUUGUGGGAUGUAGGCCUGGAGUUGCAGGCAUUGGGUUGCACAGGCGUCACAGCAGAAAGACUUCGGCUUUAGCCAGCAAUUCACCAUCAUUACGGCACGUAACCUCUUUAGGACUCUCAAGAUUUUUUACAUUUAUUAAAUUCUGUUUGUAAAAAAGAGUUUCCAAGCAAGCAGUAGCACUCCAAGUGAAGAUCUGGGAAAAUAAAUGACCAAAGCUAUGGUACUGCAACAGCUUUGGCAAACCUUUACAAAGUUUUGUAAAACAAACACAUGUGAUCAUCUACUCUCUGGGUAGGUCUUUACAUUAGAAGUUCAUACUUAACACGAAGGAGGAUUAAAAUGUUUCUCUGCAUAUUUGCUGAGCGCAUAUUGCUGAAUUAAGUGUUAUCCAUUGGCACAUGCAAACAUACAGUGGUUUUGUGGAACCUUUCUGCCUUCCUUGGUGUGUAUAACCAAGGGAAGAUGGAGACCAUUUCAGCCUGUAUUGUGAGCUUAAUAUUCAAAUGAGCUAGUUUUUCUGGAUCUCAAGAAUCACAGAAAGUAAAAUGAUUGUCUGGGGGACAUGAUAGUGGGUUCUGAUACCGGAGUGUUGUUUCAUUUGCCUUCAACACCAACCUUUGGUCUUCUUCUGUUUUUUAUGAACUAUGUGAGGUUUUCAUGUUCAGUUAAGAAUAGAGAUAUUGAAAACCACUAAAAUUUCACCCUGUUUUGGACCUGGGGCCUGAGGAGAGGGUGGUGAUGAUUGAAAACACUGGCACAUACCAAAUCAAAGUUAUACCAGAUUUGACUGAUUGUUUAACAGAUGGCUUUUUAACACUGUUAAAAGUAAUAAAGGAAACCACAGCAUUAUUCAUUAA